AGAUCCCCUGGAGAAGGAAAAGGCUACCCACUUCUAGCCUAGAGAAUUCCAUGGACUGUAUAGUCCAUGGGGUUGCAGAGUUGGACAUGACUGAGUGACUUUCACUUCCACUUUGCACAUAGGGGAAACUGGAGUAUAAUGAAAAGGUAUAGUGAAUGAAUUAGUAUAAUGAAAAGGUUUCUAACAGAUCACUCAGCUACUAGGGUGGGAAUAAAUAUUUGAACCCAGGUUUGACUGAGCUCAGGGCUCUGGCAAUACUCUACCAUCUGCUAGUUAAGUCAUUCAUUUAAGCAUAGACUUGCAUGUCUUGCUCCUGAACAGGAAAUACUUCCAUCACAACACCAGUUCUUGGGGAGAGUCUCUCAUAAAUGAAAGAGUUCUGGUGGUUGAUCAUCAGAAGUACAAACAGUUCUAACAACCUAAUGUUCUGAGUUCUAUUCUGAUGGAUUUUGUUAGUUUAUUUAUCAUUCGUUUAAUGUUUUCCACUAUAGAUAUAUGCCCUAUUUGACAGAGCUUUGGUCCAGUGAGCAUCAUCAUGAACAUCAUCAUAUCUUCAAGGUGUCAAGAACAUAACCACCAUUGGCUCAUGUGAGUGGCAAGUCACACUAAUUGCAAGAGCUUCAGGCGUGGCUGGAUCCAGGAGCUCCAGCUAUAUACUUGUGAGUCUGACUCUCUCCAACUCUUGGUUCUCUUUCCUUUGCUUUUGGUUUCAUUCU
rnacentral:lncRNA from 1 species